rnacentral:rRNA from 1 species
CCUACGGAAGGCUGCAGUGGGGAAUAUUGGACAAUGGGGGCAACCCUGAUCCAGCCAUGCCGCGUGUGUGAAGAAGGCCCUCGGGUUGUAAAGCACUUUCAGUGAGGAAGAACGCCUGGUGGUUAAUACCCAUCAGGAAAGACAUCACUCACAGAAGAAGCACCGGCUAACUCCGUGCCAGCAGCCGCGGUAAUACGGAGGGUGCGAGCGUUAAUCGGAAUUACUGGGCGUAAAGCGCGCGUAGGUGGCUUGAUAAGCCGGUUGUGAAAGCCCCGGGCUCAACCUGGGAACGGCAUCCGGAACUGUCAAGCUAGAGUGCAGGAGAGGAAGGUAGAAUUCCCGGUGUAGCGGUGAAAUGCGUAGAGAUCGGGAGGAAUACCAGUGGCGAAGGCGGCCUUCUGGACUGACACUGACACUGAGGUGCGAAAGCGUGGGUAGCAAACAGGAUUAGAUACCCGAGUAGUC